rnacentral:rRNA from 1 species
CUCUUUCUCGAUUCAGUGGAUGGUGGUGCAUGGCCGUUCUUAGUUGGUGGAGUGAUCUGUCUGGUUAAUUCCGAUAACGAACGAGACUCUCCCCUGCUAACUAGUCGGUUGGAUCUUGAUCAGUGGGUUGAGUGCCGAGUAACUCUCGCUGUGCGUGGUGUGCGUCUCGUUCCUCACGGUUCGUUGCGUGCUCAUGUGUGGCGUUGGAUGCCUUGGAUCACACUGCACCCCAAGUCCGCCGCUUUGCUAUAACUCUUCUUAGAGGGAUUCACGGCACUGAAGCCGUAAGAGACUGAGAGCAAUAACAGGUCUGUGAUGCCCUUAGAUGCUCUGGGCCGCACGCGCGCUACAAUGCCGGGCACAGCAGGUGUUUCUCCUGCUCCGACAGGAGCGGGUAACCCUCUGAAAGCCAGUGUUCUUGCAAGUGCUUCCUCCCUCGUGGAGUUGCACAGAGGCGUGCUUGGGCCUGGGACUUGCAAUUCUUUCCCACCAACGAGGAAUGCCUAGUAGCGGCGGGUCACUGAGCCCGCUGUGACUCAGUCCCUGCCCUUUGUACACACCGCCCGUCGCUACUACCGAUUGGGUGUACCAGUGAGAGCCUUGGACUGGCGUCCGUUGUUGCUCGCAAGAGUGACAAGCGGGUCCGACGGAAAGAGGUCC